GACGAACGCUGGCGGCGUGCCUAAUACAUGCAAGUCGAGCGCAGAAGGUUGGUACUUGUACCAACUGGAUGAGCAGCGAACGGGUGAGUAACGCGUGGGGAACCUGCCUUUGAGCGGGGGACAACAUUUGGAAACGAAUGCUAAUACCGCAUAAAAACUUUAAACACAAGUUUUAAGUUUGAAAGAUGCAAUUGCAUCACUCAAAGAUGAUCCCGCGUUGUAUUAGCUAGUUGGUGAGGUAAAGGCUCACCAAGGCGAUGAUACAUAGCCGACCUGAGAGGGGGAGAGGCCACACUGGAAGUGAGACACGGUCCAGAAUCCUACGGGAGGCAGCAGUAGGGAAGCUUCCGCAGUGGGCGAAAGCCUGACGGAGGAACGCCGCGUGAGUGAAGAAGGUCUUAGGAUCGUAAAACUCUGUUAUUAGGGAAGAACAAAUGUGUAAGUAACUAUGCACGUCUUGACGGUACCUAAUCAGAAAGCCACGGCUAACUACGUG
rnacentral:rRNA from 1 species